GACGAACGCUGGCGGCGUGCUUAACACAUGCAAGUCGAACGAAGUGGCGACCGGGUGAGUAACGCGUAAUCAACCUGCCCUUCAGCGGGGGACAACAGUUGGAAACGACUGCUAAUACCGCAUACUGACGUAGGGGAUUGCGUAUGAUUAGCUAGUUGGAGGGAUAGCGGCCAACCAGGGCGAUGAUCAGUAGCCUGUCUGUGAGGAUGAACGGCCACAUUGGGAUUGCGACACGGCCCAUACUCCUACGGGAGGCAGCAGUGGGGAAUCUUCCGCAAUGGACGAAAGUCUGACGGAGCAACGCCGCGUGAGUGAUGACGGCCUUCGGGUUUUAAAGCUCUGUUAAUCGGGACGCGGUACCGGAAGAGAAAGCCACGGCUAACUACGUGCCAGCAGCCGCGGUAAUUC
rnacentral:rRNA from 1 species